UCUGUCUCUCUCUGUCUUAAAAAUAAAUAAAACAUAAAAAAAAAAAUCAAAAUAUGUCCACAAUUCAACCACUUUGUGUCAUCUCCACUGCUGCUACUUGGAUCUAAGCCAGUCUCAUGUCUGGAUUAUUUCAGGAGUAUCCCAGUUGAGACUGUCCCCCCCCCCCCCCCAUACCCACCUAUUUUUCAUUCUUGGUCCUAUUAUACUGAGUUGCAGCCACAGCGAUCCUGUUAAAUACAACUCAGAUCAUGUUAGUUUUCCUUCUCUCUUUCUUUCUCUCUGCCUGUCAAAAUCAUCCAGUGAUUUCACAGUUCACCCAGAAUAAAAGCCAGAGCCCUUACAAUAGCCUAAGAGAUGCUAUACAAUGUGUACUCCAUCCCCCUCUAUCACCCCACCUCUGUAAAAUCAUCAAACAAGAGACUGUUCUUCCUUGGUUCUGCUCUGACUACACUGCCCCCCUUGCUGUUCACAGAACACAAAACAUGCACACCCACUAGCUUCCUCCCACCAGGCAAGCUUCCACCCUGGUCAUUGCCCUUGACCUCUCCUCUGUCUGGAAUGCUUCUCUCUGGGUUAUCUACUUGGCUUAUUUCCCUCCGUUCCUUUAUGCCCUUACUCAAGUGGUUCCUUCCCAGUAAGGCCCUGGCCUCACCUCCAGCCUUAUCCCCUCCCUUCUCUCCUCUUUGCCUUCAUUGCUUUAUUGUUCCUCUCAGCACUGAUCACCAGUUGACAUACUUGAUGUUCUCCUUAUUUUAUCUUUUCUUUUUUUAAAUUGCUUGUGUUCCUCAACUUGAAUGGAAGCUCUGAGCAAAAUGUUUGUUUUUUUCAUGCUUCUUAAUCUGUUUGGAUAAUAGUUAUCCAAAUCUGGAAGAGUAUCUGACACUUAGUACUUCCUCCAAUGUAUUUGCUGAAGAAAUAAACCAAGGAAUAAAUGAAAUACGGAGUCCUAUUGAUGUCAACUGAGAUUUACUGAGAAAGGUCAUAACAAAUGUUACAGGUUUGUUUUUUGUUUUUUGUUUUUUUUACUUAGAGUCUUAUUACAAUAAAGGAUCUUCAAGGAUUCUCCCCCGCUGAAUAGCUCAAUUUUCUUUUUGGGAACUAGAGAGAAGAUACUGUCUGGACAGGGGAUCCUGGUUCUACCCUUUCUCCUGGAGUACAGUGACAUAAUGUGCUCCUUAGAUAAAAUAUUCAGGGGACAGUUUACCAGCUCUCAUCUCUGAGCUGCUGACAGACUCAAAAUAGAACAUUCUUUCCAUGUCUUUAUAAACCAAGUGUUUCAAGGAAAAGAAUAUCAGAGACAGAGACAGAGCAUGAACGGGGGAGGGUCAGAGAGAGGAAGACACAGAAUCUGAAAC